GGGUGUUACGAGCCUGUGGCAGCUGUGGUGAUGCUCGAGAUCUGCCCCACACUGGUGCAAGGCACUGCAAUUUGUGGUCCCUCGAGCUUCCCUGAGAUAUUUCAGUCAUUAGGAUGAGAUAAUGGGACCCUCAGAAAAUGAAUGUCAGAGAUUCUAAUUUGUGUCUUUUGGGGAUCCAAAGUGUCUCUCUCACACAGCAGCUGCUAUAACUACCACAGCAACACCUUUAGGUUUAUUUUCAACAGGUGAAUCGAGCUUAUGCAAGAGCUGGGGUGCAGAUGAACCCUGUGAAGUGAUACCCGGAUAUCAGGUAUCAUGUGAAGAGACACAGGAGCCACAAAGCUGUAAUGUCCUGCAGAUCCAAGGAUACACUGCCACCUCAGCGUUCAGGAGCCAGAAAAGUGCCAGCCAGACUGCACCCCCUAAAAGAUAAAAACAACCCAGGGCCACAGGCUGCUGGUGCUGCCAACCCAUGUCCCCUCCCAGCACAUUCCCCACGACCCACCAGCUUCCCCGAAUCCAUGGUUUCCUUGAGCCGCUUGCCCAGCUCGGAGCCCGAGGCCACCAUGGCCCGCAGCAUGUCACCGGUGGCCAGGUGGCACACGCAGUAGGUCUCGGCCAGCUUCGGCGCCUGCAGAAGAGGACAGUGUGGGGACAGCCAUCCCUCCACAGACAGAACACUGGCUCCUCAGCAACACCAGAGAGGGACCUGCACAUUUAUCAAGAGUUAAAAAAUCCCUGCAGAGCCCAUCCCAUUUGUGGCACC